GCCGGGCGUGGUGGCGGACGCCUGUAGUCCUAGCUACUCCGGAGGCUGAGACAGGAGAAUGGCGUGAACCCGGGAGGCGGAGCUUGCAGGGAGCUGAGAUCCGGCCACUGCACUCCAGCCUGGGUGACAGCGCAAGACUCUGUCUCAA
ensembl:misc_RNA Metazoa_SRP Metazoan signal recognition particle RNA